GACGAACGCUGGCGGCGUGCUUAACACAUGCAAGUCGAGCGGUAAGGCUCCUUCGGGGGUACACGAGCGGCGAACGGGUGAGUAACACGUGAGUAAUCUGCCCCUCACUUCGGGAUAAGCCUCGGAAACGAGGUCUAAUACCGGAUACGACCACUUCCUGCAUGGGAUGGUGGUGGAAAGUUUUUUCGGUGGGGGAGUGUGCUCGCGGCCUAUCAGCUUGUUGGUGGGGUAAUGGCCUACCAAGGCUUCGACGGGUAGCCGGCCUGAGAGGGUGGCCGGCCACACUGGGACGGAGACACGGCCCAGACUACUACGGGAGGCAGCAGUGGGGAAUAUUGGACAAUGGGCGGAAGCCUGAUCAGCAACGCCGCGUGAGGGAUGACGGCCUUCGGGUUGUAAACCUCUUUCAGCGGGGACGAAGCGCGAGUGACGGUACCCGCAGAAGAAGCACCGGCCAACUACGUGCCAGCCGCCGCAGUAACAC
rnacentral:rRNA from 1 species